GCUCGAGCAUCUACGAAUUCAUGAUCAUCGGUAGCGGUGAAUAUCUAUCUGCACUGAGGUAUUGAGGUACGAUCUCAUAUUAUUCUUUUAAAUUCCAGAUUAUAUGUUUGUUUUUCUCCUAGGCUUGGGUAGGAUUAGUUUUGAUCUUAAGCAUGUAGGGUUAAAGAGUUUAACCCAUUUGUUUUUCAUUGUAUUCAAAAAUAUUUUAAAAUAUACACAUGCUGCCUACCCGGUAUUCUAAUAGUUAGAUUUGGUAUAAAAGUUUUAAAGAGUUUGGGAUUG
rnacentral:lncRNA from 1 species